ACGGGGUGCAGCAGGCGCGAAAACUUUGCAAUGUGCGCAAGCACGACAAGGUUAAUCCGAGUGAUUCCUGCUAAAGGAAUCUUUUGCUAGUCCUAAAAACACUAGCGAAUAAGGGGUGGGCAAGUUCUGGUGUCAGCCGCCGCGGUAAAACCAGCACCUCAAGUGGUCAGGAGGAUUAUUGGGCCUAAAGCAUCCGUAGCCUGCUCUGUAAGUUUCCGGUUAAAUCCAUUAGCUUAACUGAUGGGCCGCCGGAAAAACUGCAAAGCUAGGGAGUGGGAGAGGUAGACGGUACUCAGUAGGAAGGGGUAAAAUCCUUUGAUCUAUUGAAGACCACCUGUGGCGAAGGCGGUCUACCAGAACACGUUCGACGGUGAGGGAUGAAAGCUGGGGGAGCAAACCGGAUUAGAUACCCGGGUAGUCCCAGCUGUAAACGAUGCAGACUCGGUGAUGCCCUGGCUUGUGGCCAGUGCAGUGCCGCAGGGAAGCCGUUAAGUUUGCCGCCUGGGAAGUACGUACGCAAGUAUGAAACUUAAAGGAAUUGGCGGGGGAGCACCACAAGGGGUGAAGCCUGCGGUUCAAUUGGAGUCAACGCCAGAAAUCUUACCCGAGGAGACAGCAGAAUGAAGGUCAAGCUGGAGACUUUACCAGACAAGCUGAGAAGUGGUGCAUGGCCGUCGCCAGCUCGUGCCGUGAGAUGUCCUGUUAAGUCAGGUAACGAGCGAGAUCCCUGCCUCUAGUUGCCACCAUUACUCUCAG
rnacentral:rRNA from 1 species